rnacentral:rRNA from 1 species
GGGGAAUUUUGGACAAUGGCGGCAACCCUGAUCCAGCCAUGCCGCGUGAGUGAAGAAGGCCUUCGGGCUGUAAAGCUCUUUCGGACGGAAAGAAAUCGCCGCCUCUAACAUAGGCGGUGGAUGACGGUACCGUAAGAAGAAGCACCGGCUAACUACGUGCCAGCAGCCGCGGUAAUACGUAGGGUGCGAGCGUUAAUCGGAAUUACUGGGCGUAAAGCGUGCGCAGGCGGUUUGGUAAGACAGGUGUGAAAUCCCCGGGCUUAACCGGGAAUUGCGAGUGUGACUGCCAGGCUAGAGUGCGGCAGAGGGGGGUGGGAUUCCACGUGUAGCAGUGAAAUGCGUAGAGAUGUGGAGGAACACCGAUGGCGAAGGCAGCCCCCUGGGCCUGUACUGACGCUCAUGCACGAAAGCGUGGGGAGCAAACA